rnacentral:rRNA from 1 species
CAGCAGCCACGGUAAUACGUAGGGUGCGGGCGUUAAUCGGAAUUACUGGGCGUAAAGCGGGCGCAGACGGUUACUUAAGCAGGAUGUGAAAUCCCCGGGCUCAACCUGGGAACUGCGUUCUGAACUGGGUGACUAGAGUGUGUCAGAGGGAGGUAGAAUUCCACGUGUAGCAGUGAAAUGCGUAGAGAUGUGGAGGAAUACCGAUGGCGAAGGCAGCCUCCUGGGAUAACACUGACGUUCAUGCCCGAAAGCGUGGGUAGCAAACAGGAUUAGAUACCCCGGUAGUCCCUGUCUCUUAUAA